AAAGGAAAUACAAGAUAGCAAAAAACUGGAAGGAAAAUUAAAAUAAUGCCAGCAGUCCAGCUUUGCUUAA
rfam:Procavia capensis cont1.148774, whole genome shotgun sequence.